AGAGGUGACCUGACUCUCUGAGGCUCAUUUUGCAGUUGUUGAAAUUGUCCUCGCAGUUUUCAAUCAUGUCUGAACCAAUCAGAGUCCUUGUGACUGGAGCAGCUGGUCAAAUUGCAUAUUCACUGCUGUACAGUAUUGGAAAUGGAUCUGUCUUUGGUAAAGAUCAGGUAGGAACAGGUGUCUAUAAAUCUUAAGUUAUUAGAGUAAGAAUAUGGUUAAUAAAUUCUGUAUUUAGUUGUACACAAAUUGUAAAACAGUGAAGGAAUGUGUAAUCCCAGUAAAUGUAAUAGGCACAUUGCUAUAAAUGGGAGCUACUAAGGUAUUUAUAUGUGUGCCUCCAGGCACUGAAAACACUUUGCAAAUGAGAACUCUUCCAUAUAUUGUACUUAGUUGACUUGGUGCAACCAGCAGGUGUCAGUCAAUGGGAGAUAUCACUAAUGACAGUAACUUACAGUCAUGUGAGAGAGAGUACUCAGUAAGCACUCCCUUGUUCAUAAAUGGCCUUCGGAACCAAAAGAGUAAGGAAAUCUGCUUCCCAGCUGAAGCAGGCACUCCGACUUCCAGCAAGC
rnacentral:sRNA from 1 species